UACGUAGGGUGCAAGCGUUGUCCGGAAUUAUUGGGCGUAAAGAGCUCGUAGGCGGUUUGUCGCGUCUGGUGUGAAAAUCCAGGGCUUAACCCUGGACCUGCAUCGGGUACGGGCAGACUAGAGUUCGGUAGGGGAGACUGGAAUUCCUGGUGUAGCGGUGAAAUGCGCAGAUAUCAGGAGGAACACCGGUGGCGAAGGCGGGUCUCUGGGCCGAAACUGACGCUGAGGAGCGAAAGCGUGGGGAGCAAACAGG
rnacentral:rRNA from 1 species